AAGACUCUCUUGUCAUGGUGAGAAGGCUCAGCAGGUAAGAGCUCCACUGGAUCUGACUGGAAAUAGGGAGGGUGGUUGCUGGGGUGAACAAUGGGAAAAAAAAAGAGACUCCUGAAAGAGAGAGAGAGAGAGAGAGAGAGAGAGAGAGAGAGGAAGAAGAAGGAAGAGGAGGAGGAGAAGGAGGAGGGAGGGAGGGAGGGAAGGAGAGAAGGAGAGAGGAUGUUGUUUUUAAAGAUUCACAUUUCGAUCAUCAACUUGGAGCUGAUGAUUUUGAGGAGUGCAGAUAUCCUGUUUGUGAUACACCUAUGCAGAUGUCCUGUUUGUGAUACACCUAUGCAGAUGAUGCUCCUUCGUGCUGCAGGAGAUGCCCUCUCACACUAGGGUGAUGAUAGUUGGUGAGAAGUUUACAGUCCUUGACCUGUAGAAAAUGUGAGGUCGUUGCAUACUGACGCCUGUGGCAUUGCGUCUAUAACUCUACCCUGAUCCCGUUCUGGAUGUUAAUCCCCCAGUGAGCGUGUGAGAUAAGCUUGUCUCUGAAUAAUCUUAACACAGAAACUACUCUAAAGGUAAGUACAAAACAAUAAAUCUGCUGAAAAACACUGGACUAUACACAUGAAGGUACCUGCAGGCUUUUUGUUCUGUUGCAUUAGUCUGUGUCUCCGUCUCUCUCUACCACACUCUCUUACUGGCUAAACGUUAUAAGCUGUUGUUUGUUGUUUAAAAC
rnacentral:lncRNA from 1 species